GUCUUUUUGAUUAUAAUUUAAAGUCUGACCUGCCCAAUGAGUAUUUGAAUGGCCGCGGUAAUUUGACCGUGCAAAGGUAGCAUAAUCAUUAGUUUUUUAAUUGAAAGCUGGAAUGAAUGGUUGGACGAGAAAAUAACUGUCUCAAUUUAAUUGAAUAUAGAAUUUUAUUUAUAAGUAAAAAAGCUUAUAUGAUUUUAAAAGACGAGAAGACCCUAUAGAGUUUUAUAUUUUAUUUUAUUAAUUGAGUUUAGAAUGUUUAUGUUUUUAAUAUAAUAAAAUGUUUUGCUGGGGCAGCAGAAAAAUUAAAUAAACUUUUUUUAUUAUUGUUACAUUGAUUUAUGAUUUAAUGAUCCAUUUUUUAUGAUUAUAAGAUUAAAUUACCUUAGGGAUAACAGCGUAAUUUUUUUUUAGAGUUCUUAUCGAAAAAAGAGUUUGCGACCUCGAUGUUGGAUUAAAAUUAACUUUUGGUGUAGGGGCUAAAAGGUUAGGUCUGUUCGACCUUUAAAAUUUUACA
rnacentral:rRNA from 1 species